UGCAAAACAUAAACAUCUGAAAAACUUGAGGUGUUCAUAUGAUGGGGGAUCCCAUGCAAUUUUUCAUAGGGUAAAAGAUUCUUAAUGACAGAUCUACUUUAUUAGAAGUAGAUCAGUGAUUACAAGAAGCAACAUCAAUAUCACGAUCUACUACAUGACUAGCUUUAACAGAAGGAAUAACAAGCAAAUAAGUAGACGAAUCAUAAACGGAUAUGGAAUUGGAUGUAGUCGGAAAAAGAUAGCAUCAGGAUAUAGGUAGUAUAACCUUCCCGCAGCCUUACAAAUUUUCAAUGAUCUCUUCAGAAAAGAGCUCUGUAAAGAACACAAUGAUUUGGUAAAUGAAGCUGAACAAUAUAAUUAACAGAUGAGUUGAUGUAAAGAAAUUAGAUUAAAAUGAAAAGAUGGAACAAGAAGGACAUGAGUCAAGACCAUAUCAUGUCUGAGAUGUAAAGAGCCAGUGAAAACAACUUUGGCUUUAUAUCCAUUAGGUAAGAUGAUAAGAAAUGGUUUAGUUAAGGGUUGUACAUUAAAGAAUAGGUGUUUAUGUGAAGUUUAUGAUUAGUGGCACCUGUAUCUAAGUAUCUAAGGAAUUAUAAUUAUUUGUUAUGAAACACAUGCAUGAGAGUCCACAUAUCCAACAACAUAACUAUUAAACAAACAUGUAAAAUGUGCAAAUGCAAUGUUGUCCCCAGUGAAAGCAUCAUGAGCAGACCCGGAAGAUAGGUGAACCUGCUGAAACAAGGUUAAAAGAUGUUGGUACUGCUCUCUAGUGAAACCAUGAGCUGAUGACUUAGAAAACUGUAUAGUUGGUGCUGCAUAUGCACGUAUAGAGGAAGUUAGAGGAGAUUUAGUCUCGACACAUGAAGCAAACUUCUCAUUCUUUGUGAACUUGAAGUCUGGAGGAAAUAUAUGUAUCCUGUAACAUUUGUCCGCAAUGUGUCCCGGUUUCUUGCAAUACUUGCAAGAAACUGUUGUUUUAGACCCUCUGGAUUCAAAAUUCACAUCUGACUAAAAUUUAUGUUCCCAUUGGAUAAGUCAGGAGAAACCAAGAAGGAAGUUGUAUCUCCAAAAAAACUUGGGGCAGAGGAAUGAGCUUUUCUUUGACUUUCAUCAUGUUGAAGUAGGGAAUAUGCCUUUGUCAUGGGUGAAAGGUGGAUUCAUCAUCAUAAUAGCACUCUUUACAGGCGAAUAAGAGUCAUUUAGACCAUUUAAAAAUUGAAAUAUUUGGUGUUUUUCUAUGAACUUAGGAAAGGAACCACAAGAGUAUACAUGUCCUACAUAGGAGAAAUGCAGCUCAUCCUAGAGGCUUUUCAUCUUUUAAAGUAAGAUGCUAUGUUAGAAGACCACUAAGUAGUGAAAUGGAUUUUCUUUUGAAGUUGAAUAUACUUAGACCCGUUUGACUGUCCAAACCUAUCAUUGAUGUCUUUAUAGACUUCCUUGGCAGUCUUAAAACACAUCAUACUGGUAGCAAUAUAUCUUAGAUACUGAAUUUGUUAUCCAGGCCUUGACCAUAUCAUUACAUCUUUUCCAAUACGCAUAGUAAGGGGAAUAUGAUGUAGGUUGGGAGAUUCUACCAUUUACUAGCCCUAACUUGUUCUUUGUAGAAAGAUAUGUGACCAUACUACUUUCCCAAAGUACAAAACCUGACCCAGUGAAUGGUACAGACAUUAAUUGGUUACCGGGACUACCCAAUGAAUGAAUAUAAAGAGGGCGAGAUGGAUCCAGUAAAAAGAGAACAAAACCAUCAGAGGUCGAAGGCACGUCAUCGUUAUUCAGUAUACUACUCAUUUUCACACUCAAUCAAAAUAAAUGUACAACGCAAAAGGUAAAAUCGGCUAAGAACAAUAUAAGCAAAGCAAAAAUGUAGUCAAUUGAUUCAACACAUGCAAAUAUGAGAGAACAUACCAGCCUUCUUCUGAAACCUAAAGAAGUAAGACUUCAUCUAAUCGCAAACCUUAGACAUGGUUUUUCUUCACAAAUGUGAUGAUACGUCCGUGAAAAUCAAAACUUCACUUACCUCAAGCAUGGAUCGAUGUUUAAAAACUCCAAAUUUCUCCAGUGGAAGAAGAAUGAACACAGUUUCAACCGCCAUUGUCGUCAAUCGAAACUAGAACGAAGAAACUUUUGGUAAGAGUACAAUCAGAAGAAAGCUCACGAUGAGAGGAAUCCACAUUCCCACUCUGAUACCAUGUUGCUUGGAACAAUUCUCAGCUAUGACGGAACAGAUGAAAGAGAAAACCUUAAUAUUGACAGAAAGGAGAUAUAAACGAGAGAGAGAAAAUGAGUCGGUCAAAGUAAUAAUGACCAAAAAGACUGAUUUAUUUCCUAUAUGUUGCCUCUUUAUACUUAUAAGUAUAGAAAAGAAAAAAUAUAAAGUAAAAAUAUGUACAAACUAGACUGGAUCUCUUCACUAAAUAUUAGUAGGCUAGUUGUUUUCCUUUGUUGGACUGGACUUGAGUCACAAUUUGGUUAAGAGAGAAAGAAAAGAGUUAGAACAAUGGUG
rnacentral:lncRNA from 1 species